rnacentral:rRNA from 1 species
UACAGAGGGGGCAAGCGUUGUUCGGAAUUACUGGGCGUAAAGGGCGCGUAGGCGGCCUGUUAAGUCGAACGUGAAAUCCCUGGGCUCAACCCAGGAACUGCGUCCGAUACUGGCAGGCUUGAAUCCGGGAGAGGGAUGUGGAAUUCCAGGUGUAGCGGUGAAAUGCGUAGAUAUCUGGAGGAACACCGGUGGCGAAGGCGGCAUCCUGGACCGGUAUUGACGCUGAGGCGCGAAAGCGUGGGGAGCGAACAGG